CACGCCAUCGCCGGCAUCCGUCUCAGCACGUCCGGAAAGGUCUGCGAUUCAGGAGACCAAUCCAAGGGUGGAGGAGGCGACGGACAUGAUGUCGGACGGCGUCGUCCUCGUCGGCUCUGAGACACCCAGUGCUGGAAACGGCGAACCAGCUCGAGACACGGAGAGCGCUCUGGCCGUCAUUUCGUCCGCAGGUGACCCGCCGGAUGCGGG
rnacentral:misc_RNA from 1 species